UGCCCAGCAACUCCUAUCCCUACCUCCUCGUGGUACCGGCCGGAAACUAUAGGCAACCUUAGAGAAGAUCGGGUAACCAACCCAGGUGGGAAUUUUGGUCGUAGGCUGACAGGAAAGG
rfam:Aedes albopictus isolate Foshan contig16019, whole genome shotgun sequence.